rnacentral:rRNA from 1 species
AGCUCCAAUAGCGUAUAUUAAAGUUGUUGCAGUUAAAAAGCUCGUAGUUGAAUUUCGGGGCUCCUUAUGUAAUAGCCGCGCGGUCGAAACCCAGCUGCUGCUCUUCACGGGGUUGGUGGUGAUGGGGCGUACUGCGGGCGGGGCCCAGUACCAGUUUUCUCGAAGCCUACCCGUGCCCUUCACUGGUUGCGGGACCUGGGACUCGAGACGUUUACUUUGAAAAAAUUAGAGUGUUCAAAGCAGGCUUUUACGCUUGAAUACAUUAGCAUGGAAUAAUGGAAUAGGACUUUGGUCUUAUUUUGUUGGUUUCUAGGACCGAAGUGAUGAUUAAUAGGGACAGUUGGGGGCAUUCGUAUUUAAUUGUCAGAGGUGAAAUUCUUGGAUUUAUGAAAGACGAACUUCUGCGAAAGCAUUUGCCAAGGAUGUUUUCA